AUUGAACGCUGGCGGCAGGACUAACACAUGCAAGUCGAGCGAGCGGCGGACGGGUGAGUAAUGUAUGGGGACUGCCCGAUAGAGGGGGAUAACUACUAGAAACGUUGUCUAAUACCGCAUACUAUCGGAUAACCCAUAUUGGAUUAGCUAGUAGGUGGGGGAAAGGCUCACCUAGGCGACGCUCUCUAGCUGUUCUGAGAGGAUGCUCAGCCACACUGUGACUGAGACACUGCCCAGACUCCUACGGAGGCAGCAGUGGGGAAUAUUGCACAAUGGGCGCAAGCCUGAUGCAGCCAUGCCGCGUGUAUGAAGAAGGCCUUAGGGUUGUAAAGUACUUUCAGCGGGGAGGCGUUACCCGCAGAAGAAGCACCGGCUAACUCCGUGCCAGCAGCCGCGGUAAUAC
rnacentral:rRNA from 1 species